CUACCCAAACAUUGGGUUGUUACGUCUGACCCAGGAUCAGGGUAACACAAAAACUACCCAAACACUGGGUUGUUACGUCUGACCCAGGAGCUGGGUAACACAAAAACUACCCAAACGCUGGGUUGUUACGUCUGACCCAGGAGCUGGGUAACACAAAAACUACCCAAACACUGGGUUGUUACGUCUGACCCAGGAUCUAGGUAACACAAAAACUACCCAAACACUGG